rnacentral:rRNA from 1 species
AGAGUUUGAUCCUGGCUCAGGACGAACGCUGGCGGCGUGCCUAAUACAUGCAAGUCGAGCGAGCGGAACCAACAGAUUUACUUCGGUAAUGACGUUGGGAAAGCGAGCGGCGGAUGGGUGAGUAACACGUGGGGAACCUGCCCCUAAGUCUGGGAUACCAUUUGGAAACAGGUGCUAAUACCGGAUAAUAAAGCAGAUCGCAUGAUCAGCUUUUGAAAGGCGGCGUAAGCUGUCGCUAAGGGAUGGCCCCGCGGUGCAUUAGCUAGUUGGUAAGGUAACGGCUUACCAAGGCGACGAUGCAUAGCCGAGUUGAGAGACUGAUCGGCCACAUUGGGACUGAGACACGGCCCAAACUCCUACGGGAGGCAGCAGUAGGGAAUCUUCCACAAUGGACGCAAGUCUGAUGGAGCAACGCCGCGUGAGUGAAGAAGGUUUUCGGAUCGUAAAGCUCUGUUGUUGGUGAAGAAGGAUAGAGGUAGUAACUGGCCUUUAUUUGACGGUAAUCAACCAGAAAGUCACGGCUAACUACGUGCCAGCAGCCGCGGUAAUACGUAGGUGGCAAGCGUUGUCCGGAUUUAUUGGGCGUAAAGCGAGCGCAGGCGGAAAAAUAAGUCUAAUGUGAAAGCCCUCGGCUUAACCGAGGAACUGCAUCGGAAACUGUUUUUCUUGAGUGCAGAAGAGGAGAGUGGAACUCCAUGUGUAGCGGUGGAAUGCGUAGAUAUAUGGAAGAACACCAGUGGCGAAGGCGGCUCUCUGGUCUGCAACUGACGCUGAGGCUCGAAAGCAUGGGUAGCGAACAGGAUUAGAUACCCUGGUAGUCCAUGCCGUAAACGAUGAGUGCUAAGUGUUGGGAGGUUUCCGCCUCUCAGUGCUGCAGCU